rnacentral:rRNA from 1 species
GACGAACGCUGGCGGCGUGCUUAACACAUGCAAGUCGAACGGAAAGGCCCUGCUUUUGUGGGGUGCUCGAGUGGCGAACGGGUGAGUAACACGUGAGUAACCUGCCCUUGACUUUGGGAUAACUUCAGGAAACUGGGGCUAAUACCGGAUAGGAGCUCCUGCUGCAUGGUGGGGGUUGGAAAGUUUCGGCGGUUGGGGAUGGACUCGCGGCGUAUCAGCUUGUUGGGGGGGUAGUGGCUUACCAAGGCUUUGACGGGUAGCCGGCCUGAGAGGGUGACCGGCCACAUUGGGCCUGAGAUACGGCCCAGACUCCUACGGGAGGCAGCAGUGGGGAAUAGUGCACAAUGGGCGGAAGCCUGAUGCAGCAACGCCGCGUGCGGGAUGACGGCCUUCGGGUUGUAAACCGCUUUCGCCUGUGACGAAGCGUGAGUGACGGUAAUGGGUAAAGAAGCACCGGCUAACUACGUG